rnacentral:rRNA from 1 species
GAUGAACGCUGGCGGCGUGCCUAAUACAUGCAAGUCGAGCGAACAGACGAGGAGCUUGCUCCUCUGACGUUAGCGGCGGACGGGUGAGUAACACGUGGAUAACCUACCUAUAAGACUGGGAUAACUUCGGGAAACCGGAGCUAAUACCGGAUAAUAUAUUGAACCGCAUGGUUCAAUAGUGAAAGACGGUUUUGCUGUCACUUAUAGAUGGAUCCGCGCCGCAUUAGCUAGUUGGUAAGGUAACGGCUACCAAGGCGACGAUGCGUAGCCGACCUGAGAGGGUGAUAGGCCACACUGGAACUGAGACACGGUCCAGACUCCUACGGGAGGCAGCAGUAGGGAAUCUUCCGCAAUGGGCGAAAGCCUGACGGAGCAACGCCGCGUGAGUGAUGAAGGUCUUCGGAUCGUAAAACUCUGUUAUUAGGGAAGAACAAAUGUGUAAGUAACUAUGCACGUCUUGACGGUACCUAAUCAGAAAGCCACGGCUAACUACGUG